ACGUAGGGACCAAGCGUUGUUCGGAUUUACUGGGCGUAAAGGGUGCGUAGGCGGCGCGGAAAGUAGGGUGUGAAAUCCCUCGGCUCAGCCGAGGAAUUGCGCCCUAAACUACCGUGCUCGAGGGAGAUAGAGGUGAGCGGAACUUAGGGUGGAGCGGUGAAAUGCGUUGAUAUCCUAAGGAACACCGGUGGCGAAAGCGGCUCUCUGGAUCUCUUCUGACGCUGAGGCACGAAAGCUAGGGUAGCAAACGGGA
rnacentral:rRNA from 1 species